ensembl:lncRNA
GGGGGACCGGGAGGGGAUUGGGGGGCACCGGGAGCUGUCGGGGAGAUGGCAGAACGAGUGCGGCUGCUGCGGUGCUGGGGGGGACUGCGGGAUAUUGGGAGAUAAUGGGGGAUACUGGGGGAUACUGGGGGAUACUGGGAGAUAUGGGGGUGGGAUACUGGGAGGUACUGGGCAGGAUAUGGGGGAUCACUUGGGGACCGUCUGCCCCACACUUAUGGGGUUCACCGUGAGCCCACUGGGGUCAAUUGGAGAUCUUCUGCCCCACAUCUGUGGGGUUCCCUAUGGGCUCAUAGGGGUCACCUGGGGACCUUCUGCCCCACACUUAUGGGGAUUGCUGUGGGUUCAUGGGGGUCUGUUGGAGAUGUUCUGCCCCACAUUUAUGGGGUUUCCCAUGGGUUUAUGGGGGUCACUUGGAGAGCUGCUGCCCCACACUUGUGGGGUUCCCUAUGGGCUCACGGGGGUCUCUUGGGUCCUUCUGCCCCACACUUGUGGGGUUUCC